rnacentral:lncRNA from 1 species
CCAGCUCUCUCCUCCUCUGCCCACCCAACAACCUCUGUGGCCCGGGUGGAUGUUAUCAGGAAGGAGGGUGUCCAGAGUGGGGACUUGUGUUAUAGGGAAGGUGGAGCAUUUGAGAGAAGGGGCAUCCAAGGCCACCAGACUCGGAGGUAAGCUUGCCAUGGAUUCACAUGGGGGCCAGUCGGGCAGCCCCAUCCAUCAGCUGUCCAUCAGCUCAUAGCUGUGUCUCCGCCACAGGUUCCCAUUAAGGAUGUCGAGGCGGGGAAUGGUGAGGAAGAGUCGGGCAUGGGUGCUGGAGAAGAAGGAGCGGCACAGGCGCCAGGGCAGGGAAGUCAGACCUGACACCCAGUACACCGGCCGCAAGCGCAAGCCCCGCUUCUAAGUCACCACGCGGUUCUGGAAAGGCACUUGCCUCUGCACUUUUCUAUAUUGUUCAGCUGACAAAGUAGUAUUUUAGAAAAGUUCUAAAGUUAUAAAAAUGUUUUCUGCAGUAAAAAAAAAAGUUCUCUGGGCCAGGCGUGGUGGCUCACACCUGUAAUCCCAGCACCUUGGGAGGCUGAGGUGGGAGGAUCAUUUGAGGCCAGGAGUUUGAGACCUGCCUGGGCAACAUAAUGAAACUUCCUUUCCAGGGAGAAAAAAAAAAAAAAAAAAAAAGCUCUGAGAGCAUCUUAUUUUGUUUAAAGGCAAGAAAUAAAAUUUCCUUUUGUG